UAAACAACGAUCAUGGGCUAUAUAAGAUUUCAUCUAGUAUCAUCUAUGCACAGGAGGUGUUCCAAUGUCUUACUGUUUACGGUCCAUGGUCUACAGAAAUAUGGCUGCUCUAUAGUAAAGCAAAUAUUUAUAAAGAAGAAAUACUGGCAAAAUGAAUUAGGCUUACCUAAAACAGGAGUUAAAAAAAAGGGGGUAAAAGAAGCAAUUUACAAACAAGUUGUAGGCGAUGUUAUAAUCUGGUUUUCCCAUUUAGUGCAUAAUAUGCCUUAUCUGCACUGGCUAAUCGAUCCUGAAACAUUGUCCACUCAUUUCUGCACCUCACUCUUACCCCUUCCCAAGGGGCUUUACCAUUCUCCGAGCUACCCUGACUUCCAAGGGAAGGAAUAACUUGAUGCACUAUCCAUUGUGAAUCCACUACACCAAUUUUUUCAUGUGCAGGCUCUACACAUCUUCUGAGAGCGAAAUCCAAUCCCCAUCCAUGCACCAAAUCAUUCUGAAUCAUAUGCCACACA
rnacentral:misc_RNA from 1 species